GACGAACGCUGGCGGCGUGCCUAAUACAUGCAAGUUGAGCGCUGAAGGUUGGUACUUGUACCAACUGGAUGAGCAGCGAACGGGUGAGUAACGCGUGGGGAAUCUGCCUUUGAGCGGGGGACAACAUUUGGAAACGAAUGCUAAUACCGCAUAAAAACUUUAAACACAAGUUUUAAGUUUGAAAGAUGCAAUUGCAUCACUCAAAGAUGAUCCCGCGUUGUAUUAGCUAGUUGGUGAGGUAAAGGCUCACCAAGGCGAGGUUACAUAGCCGACCUGAGAGGGUGAGCGGCCAGAUUGGGAGUGAGACACGGCCCAAACUCCUACGGGAGGCAGCAGUAGGGAAUCGUGGGCAAUGGACGAAAGUCUGACCGAGCAACGCCGCGUGAGUGAAGAAGGUUUUCGGAUCGUAAAACUCUGUUGGUAGAGAAGAACGUUGGUGAGAGUGGAAAGCUCAUCAAGUGACGGUAACUACCCAGAAAGGGACGGCUAACUACGUG
rnacentral:rRNA from 1 species